rnacentral:rRNA from 1 species
ACGGACGAGAAGCUUGCUUCUCUGAUGUUAGCGGCGGACGGGUGAGUAACACGUGGAUAACCUACCUAUAAGACUGGGAUAACUUCGGGAAACCGGAGCUAAUACCGGAUAAUAUUUUGAACCGCAUGGUUCAAAAGUGAAAGACGGUCUUGCUGUCACUUAUAGAUGGAUCCGCGCUGCAUUAGCUAGUUGGUAAGGUAACGGCUUACCAAGGCAACGAUGCAUAGCCGACCUGAGAGGGUGAUCGGCCACACUGGAACUGAGACACGGUCCAGACUCCUACGGGAGGCAGCAGUAGGGAAUCUUCCGCAAUGGGCGAAAGCCUGACGGAGCAACGCCGCGUGAGUGAUGAAGGUCUUCGGAUCGUAAAACUCUGUUAUUAGGGAAGAACAUAUGUGUAAGUAACUGUGCACAUCUUGACGGUACCUAAUCAGAAAGCCACGGCUAACUACGUGCCAGCAGCCGCGGUAAUACGUAGGUGGCAAGCGUUAUCCGGAAUUAUUGGGCGUAAAGCGCGCGUAGGCGGUUUUUUAAGUCUGAUGUGAAAGCCCACGGCUCAACCGUGGAGGGUCAUUGGAAACUGGAAAACUUGAGUGCAGAAGAGGAAAGUGGAAUUCCAUGUGUAGCGGUGAAAUGCGCAGAGAUAUGGAGGAACACCAGUGGCGAAGGCGACUUUCUGGUCUGUAACUGACGCUGAUGUGCGAAAGCGUGGGGAUCAAACAGGAUUAGAUACCCUGGUAGUCCACGCCGUAAACGAUGAGUGCUAAGUGUUAGGGGGUUUCCGCCCCUUAGUGCUGCAGCUAACGCAUUAAGCACUCCGCCUGGGGAGUACGACCGCAAGGUUGAAACUCAAAGGAAUUGACGGGGACCCGCACAAGCGGUGGAGCAUGUGGUUUAAUUCGAAGCAACGCGAAGAACCUUACCAAAUCUUGACAUCCUUUGACAACUCUAGAGAUAGAGCUUUCCCCUUCGGGGGACAAAGUGACAGGUGGUGCAUGGUUGUCGUCAGCUCGUGUCGUGAGAUGUUGGGUUAAGUCCCGCAACGAGCGCAACCCUUAAGCUUAGUUGCCAUCAUUAAGUUGGGCACUCUAAGUUGACUGCCGGUGACAAACCGGAGGAAGGUGGGGAUGACGUCAAAUCAUCAUGCCCCUUAUGAUUUGGGCUACACACGUGCUACAAUGGACAAUACAAAGGGCAGCGAAACCGCGAGGUCAAGCAAAUCCCAUAAAGUUGUUCUCAGUUCGGAUUGUAGUCUGCAACUCGACUACAUGAAGCUGGAAUCGCUAGUAAUCGUAGAUCAGCAUGCUACGGUGAAUACGUUCCCGGGUCUUGUACACACCGCCCGUCACACCACGAGAGUUUGUAACACCCGAAGCCGGUGGAGUAACCUUU